ensembl:lncRNA
UUGGCCCCUGUAAUUUUCUUCCUAGGUUUGACGCUGUAGUCAUUUUCUGUGUGACUUUCCAUUUAGCACAUAUGUCUUGAAAGACGGCUGACAUGAAUUGCAUACCUCUGUCAGACAGAAUGAAAUCAGGUUCCCCUCCUCCGAGUGAGGAUUUCUUCUCUGAGGUGGGAAGCAACAGUUUGAGCAGUGGCACUUCACAAGGGGAAAAAUUCAAGCAAUCGAGAGUAAUAAUCUACAAAUCCAAUAGAUAUCCAUGUCUGUGGGAACUGUGAGGCAAUGGACCCAUGAUAUCCACUCUCAACAUCAUGUUUGGAUGUGUGGUGGUGAUGUCCACAUGACUGGCCAGAAGGCAACUUGAUGCACUCUCUGAAUGCUGGCAUCCUGGCGUUCGAGAGUAGCGUCACUCACAAGUCUCUUUCUCCUUUCCCACGACCGUACAAAGAGGUUUAUCUAACGUGUUGGCUGUGUUUUUCCCUAUGGGCAA